ACAGGCAGAGCCUGCGGCCCCAGCGCCGUGCGGCCGAGAGAGCCCAGCCCAGGGCCCGGGGCGUGCUGAGCGGCUCGGGGCCCCGCACGGUGCCAGCCGCGGCCGUGGCUGCCCUCACAGCAGGCCUGAAUGGCAGCUGCGGCACUCAGCGGCUGCUGACGGCUCUGGCCCCAGGGAGACCCCACGGCCUCAGGCUCCCUCAUUAGCGUAACCCGCCCUUAAUUACCGGGGCUGGGGAAACGGUUUGGUGCAAGGGCUGAGCUCCCCCAGCUGCCUCUGCUGCCUUCAGUCUCUUACCAGGAGACAGGAAAGGGAGGGGAGCCAAGGCAGAGGCUGCAGGGGACUGGCACCGAGCGAGGCUCAGGGCUCAGGGCUGGCACUCUCCUGGCAGCAGCAGAUGAGAGCAGUGCUGAGCCCGGGCCCUUUUUUGGCUCCUCUCCCUGCCACCCCACGGCUGCUCUGAAACACCUGUCUCUUGUGUAUGGAGAAGGAAUGGUGUGUGUGCCAUCCUGUGCUGGCUUUGCUGCCAUCCUCAGCAUCCUCCACUGGAAGGUCAGGAGUGCUGUGCUCUGCCCAGAGUGCAGCUUGUCUGAUCUGAACAGACCAGUGAUCUCCUCAGCUGUGCUCCUGAGAGGGAAGUUCUUCAUUAUCCACAGAGAAGUUUUCUUGUAAUCAUGGUUCUGCUGUUUCUUCAGGUGCCUGAAUCUGUGUGCUCCCACUUGUAUUUUGUUCACAGCAACCUUAACAUCUUUCUUAGAGCUCUUUGGGAUGUGCAGGCAGCAGUGCAUGCAGUGAGAUGUGUGCAAGCUGCUGCAGCAAGACAAGACCAGCAGCAGUGCUAAGAAGGAAUGCAGUGAGCAGUGCUGCCAGGCUUUUCUCUUUGAGAGUCUCACACACUCUAAUAGAUGCCAGCUCUUAGCUAAAGCAUUCCAAGCUGUCUGUGCUUGAUCUCCAGGAGCAGCAACUGCUGUCCUUGCUGCUCCUUCCCUGCUGUGGUGAUUCCAACUGGGUACCAACCUCCUUCCCAUGCCAAACCCAAUUGUCACCAAAUAUCGCUGCCCCAUAAGUGCCAGCAGCAGCUCUCUGGGCUGCCUAAGGAAGUGGCUGUGUCCAGUUAUGCCUGCUGAGGUGGAGACCUGCAUAGCAACGAGGGAAAAGGAUUCAAAAGCCUUUUGGAUAAGGAGUGUCUGCAGGUACAGACUUACACAAUUGUUUGCUUUGGAAAAGACCUGCAGGAUCACCAAGUCAAACCCUCAGCUUAAGACCACCAUGUCAAUGAAAUCAUGUCCCAAAGUGCCAUGUCCACAGGUUUCUUGAGUGUCUCCAGAGAUGGUGACUCUUGCACCUUCCUGGGCAGCCUGUUCCAAAACUUGGACACCCUUUCAGUAAAGAAAUUGUUCCUAAUAUCCAGCCUGAACUUCUUCUGGCACAAUUUCAGACCAUUUCUUCUUGGUCUGUCACAUGGUAUCAGGGAGAUGAGAUUGCCCUCACCUCACUCCAGUCUCCUUUCAGGGACUUGUGGAGAGCAGUGAGGUUGCCCCUUGGCCUUCUCUUCUCCAGGCUGCACAACCCCAUUUCCCUCAGCUGCUCCUCACCCUAACCCUAACCCUCCC